UAGGGAAUAUUGCUCAAUGGGGGAAACCCUGAAGCAGCAACGCCGCGUGGAGGAUGAAGGUUUUAGGAUUGUAAACUCCUUUUGUAAGAGAAGAUUAUGACGGUAUCUUACGAAUAAGCACCGGCUAACUCCGUGCCAGCAGCCGCGGUAAUACGGAGGGUGCAAGCGUUACUCGGAAUCACUGGGCGUAAAGAGUGCGCAGGCGGGCUUGUAAGUCAGAUGUGAAAUCCUGUAGCUUAACUACAGAACUGCAUUUGAAACUAUGAGUCUAGAGUGUGGGAGAGGUAGGUGGAAUUCUUGGUGUAGGGGUAAAAUCCGUAGAUAUCAAGAGGAAUACUCAUUGCGAAGGCGACCUACUGGAACAUUACUGACGCUCAUGCACGAAAGCGUGGGGAGCAAACAGG
rnacentral:rRNA from 1 species